AGUUACAAGGUAUGUUUCAAAAUGACUUAGGUACAUUUGUGAUUUUUAUCUUUGACAGUUGUGGUGUAAAAAUAAUCUAAUUCAUAGAUAGUACUUGUCUGUGGUUGUGGUAAAUUGUGAGGAAUUUUAAUUUUGUUUCAAUUGGGUAUCCAGUAAAGUACCUAAGUUAUUAUUUAGCGAAUCUAAUAACUAAUGACAUCAUCACAUUAGUACUACAUGUCAUCACAUUAGCAAGUUAAGCAUGAUGUAAUCAUUUAAACAAAAGUGGGCAAAAAAAUCUCCCCCCCCCCCCCCAACUUGUUAUCCUAGAUGAAACCCUGUUAGUGUAUUAGAGAGUACAAGAAUGAUUUGUCAGAAAAAUCUCAUGUACCUCUUUGGUAAACAUACACUAACUGUGUUGUACUGACUUUCAUUGAAUCACACUGUAUCACACGUCACUCCCCUUGCAGCUGUACAAUGAAGUACAUAGCUGCGAUAAAAUCCUUCGAUGUUGUGGAUAGGCAAUCAGCUGUCUACUGACCAGGUGUGUGUGGGCGGGGGGUAGAAUGGAUUGUGCGCUGAACAAGAUUAAUCAUUAUUAGUUGCUUAAAACCUGAUACUCAAUUUCAGUCAAUCAAUUUUUACAUGCCCCACUAUUUUUACAUGCCCCACAGAGACGUAACCUAUAGCUGUGCUCCAUUUACCUCGGCUGGAAAAAAGAGAGUUCUUCCUGCAAGCAUCGACUGUGGACCCCCCGGACAGAUAGCUGGGUAUUGAUGCGUACUCUGACGUGAUCAAACCAAUCAUCUGCAUCAGUGUCCAUGGAGGUAUGCCCCACCCACUCUGACCUCCUUCAGCUGCAAUACGAGGGCCUGGCAAUCAUGAAGAUGUUUAGAAGAUGUUUGGGAGGGCUAAAGUGAACGUUAAUUUGCUCAUCUUCCUCAUAAUUAUAUGAACAAAAGGCAUCAGAGCGUUAAAUUGGAUUUUCACUAGUUGCAUGUGUUCAUUGACAAUUUACUGUGCAUGUGAGCAUUUAUCAUUAUUACCAAGGAGAAGCCCUUGUUAUGCCUCGAGGCGUAGCCGCACGAGGGAUACGGUAAAGCUGACUGUGUGUGUGUCUGUCUGUUAUUGUUCAUUGUUACCAAGGAGAUCAGAAGCCUUUGUUAUUGCUGUGCUAUUGACAAGUUGUAAUUAAUUAACAACAUUUGUUUUUAUAGUGUCUAACAUAAUUAUAUAUACUAGUAUAUAAUACUUCACUGCUUUUCUCUAUGCAUUUAAAUUGUCAUUGAAUGCAUUAU